UAUACCAGUCCCUCCAGAAAAACGCGAUUAUGCGAUCGCUGAAUUCAAUGCAUAAUCAGCCAAAGUCUGCAUAUUUAUGCGGGGGUCGCAUUUUUUCAAAUACUCCGCAAUUUCGCCGCAUAAAUUGCUGAUUUCCGCGCAAAAUAUGCGGGGCUUGCAUGAUUUCAUAAUCCCCGCAUUUUCGUCGCAAAAAAGUCACAUAUAUCUUAGCAGAAAGUUGGAAAACGUUGCGUUUGCUUCACACAAGAGCAGCCGUUUCCCCCUGUUGCCAUGGGAACGUUAUGAAGUGACGCAAUUACGCGACGCCAGACAGACUCACGGAGGCGAUUGGCAUCUCACAACUCGCACUUUAUUCCCAAAUCGAACUCGUAUAACUGUCUGUCACACGUUCUACCGUCCACAUCGUUACUUAA